rnacentral:lncRNA from 1 species
CUGGAUUCCACCAUUGAGGAGUUUCUUCUAAAAUCUGUGAAAGCAUCCAAGUUCCCAUCGGGAUAAGCUCUGGUUAUCAUCUUUGCCAGCUGCUACAGGUUCUUAAGCAUAUAGGGGACCUCAUCAUAAUCUGUGAAUAGAGGAGAAAGAGAAAUCUGCAAUUCAGGUAAGGAAUAAUAGCUGAGUAGACUGAAAGCCCCCAGCUCAUUCUUGUUGGUGUAAUACAUCUGUUUUGUGUAACUAAAAUAUGUUAUGAUUGCUUCAUAGCCAGG